rnacentral:rRNA from 1 species
AACGAACGCUGGCGGCAGGCCUAACACAUGCAAGUCGAGCGCCCCGCAAGGGGAGCGGCGGACGGGUGAGUAACGCGUGGGAACGUACCCUUUGCUACGGAAUAGCCUCGGGAAACUGGGAGCAAUACCGAAUGUGCCCUUCGGGGGAAAGAUUUAUCGGCAAAGGAUCGGCUCGCGUUGGAUUAGGUAGUUGGUGGGGUAAUGGCCUACCAAGCCGACGAUCCAUAGCUGGUUUGAGAGGAUGAUCAGCCACACUGGGACUGAGACACGGCCCAGACUCCUACGGGAGGCAGCAGUGGGGAAUCUUAGACAAUGGGCGCAAGCCUGAUCUAGCCAUGCCGCGUGAGCGAUGAAGGCCUUAGGGUUGUAAAGCUCUUUCAGUGGGGAAGAUAAUGACUGUACCCACAGAAGAAGCCCCGGCUAACUCCGUGCCAGCAGCCGCCGUAACAC